rnacentral:ncRNA from 1 species
ACUAAUUUAAUAUUAUAAAUGAAUAUAAGAAGUAUAGAAUAAGUAGAAGCUUUAGUAUUAGUAAAAUAUUAUUAUUCCUAUUAUUGUUUUACUUAUUUAAUAAAAUAGGGCUAGAUUUAUAUCUAACUUAUAGUUUUAAAAUCUUUUACAAAUUAAUUUAAGUUGAAAAUAUUAUUAAAUAGGAAGUUUAGCUAGAGUAAUAUAUCUAUUAAACUAUAAUAUAAAUCUUCUAAAAAGAACCUAUAGAGAAUAGAAAUUUCUAAUAGAAUAAAAAAGUAAAAAUCUUCUUAAUUUUAAUUUUUAAUAUAAAUAUAAAUUAUAGAAAUAUAACUUAUUAAUCUUUUAAUCACUUGAAAUUUAAAGCUAGAA